rnacentral:lncRNA from 1 species
CGUCAUAAUUAAUUGCGAACCGUGUCUCGGGAGCGUUAGAGAUGGAGACUAACGUCUUCCAAGGGAGAUUGCGUCUCCACUUUCACCCUGGUACUGAGAGGUUGAGCACAAAAUUGGUAACCAAUGCUGCGCUUCCAGCAAAUUUUCCCACCAGCACCCAAUCCUGGGAUAUUUAUUCUCUUUGUCUCACAUCCUACAGGAACGCAGUCGCGGGGUAUAUCCCCCUGAAAACCGUACGUUGCCAAAUAAUGAUUUCUUUGGAUUAGAGAACUACAACUCCCCUGGGUCCUGAGCCGGUAUUUCCCUUUUGCGGCUGCACCGUAGUUAAAAACAAAGCUAAGUGUUCUGGGACGUAUAGUUCUAGCGUUCCUUGGGUCCCGCUGGCGAGCGUGGGCUUUCUGCAGCUCGCAACCGGCCUCGUGCUUUGCGGACGGUUCACUGCGCUUGGAAAGGGAUUGGCCUGGGGUACAUCAUCUAAAGAUCCUAGGAUUGCUGCAGGUCAGCAGUCUCCACUGGAAAAAAAGAUCUUGCAUGUAUUUCAAGUCCUCUGAUGAAUCAUGUGAUCUACUAGACCCUGAAGAUACAGUGAAGAGCAAAAGAACACAGAUGAAAUGAGAAACAAAAACGAUGGAGAAAACCAAAAAAGGGGACACAUGGGAUCCAGGCAAUAGGAGAGCCAGCAUAAGAGAGAGCCAGAGGGAUGCCCAGGAUGAGGUGAAGACGAUCUUGGAAAUCAGCCCAGAUGUGCAUGCACCAGUCCACGUGUGGCAGGACCAAGGGAAGUGUCUUCACAAAGAUGAGGUUGGUAGAAC